rnacentral:rRNA from 1 species
UACGGGGGGGGCAAGCGUUGUUCGGAAUUACUGGGCGUAAAGGGCUCGUAGGCGGCCAAGUAAGUCGGAUGUGAAAUCCCCAGGCUUAACCUGGGAACUGCAUCCGAUACUGGAUGGCUUGAAUCCGGGAGAGGGAUGCGGAAUUCCAGGUGUAGCGGUGAAAUGCGUAGAUAUCUGGAGGAACACCGGUGGCGAAGGCGGCAUCCUGGACCGGCAUUGACGCUGAGGAGCGAAAGCCAGGGGAGCAAACGGG